UUUCACAGAUGGCAGAAUGAUGCAUCUCUAUCGUAAUGCAGUGCUAAUAGAUAUGUAAGAAAAGUAAAAAGAGAUUUGAGACCCUCACAUCAGUAACUAUGGAGAAUGCUAUCUCCUGGAAUCUGACACUGUGUAGUCUGGAAGAAGUUUAUCAGCAUUUUGAAGGAAGGCUGAAUAGGUAUCUCUGCAUGAUAUAAAAUAUAAACCUGAUUAUGAUCUAGGGCUUUUCCUCGAGAUAUUGGAAUAUUAAAGUGAAUGACUGAUAUGAAUAUAAAGUCAUGAUGAAAUUAUUUGGAGAACGCUGAGCACAAAUUCUUGGAAAGAUCAUAAGUUUUCAAGGCAGUCACAAUGAAGGCAAGUACUUUCUAUGAUGUGAUGUCAUGCAGUUUGGUAGAAUGUUAACAAUAUUUUUGAGUAAUAUGGUACCUCUAUGUUAGCUUUCCUGAUUUGUGGUUUUCCGAUCUUUAGACAUGGUGUAGCGUGGCCUGUCCAUAGAGUAUUGCUAGCAACAUCUGAAGUUCUGAAUGUGGUAACUAUGAAAAUUACUGCUUUCUGGGAUAUGUCACUGUGGAGUCUGAAAGAAGAGUGCCAAUGUUUCGAAAGAACAAAGCUCCUCCAACACACUGGAAACCUACCAGACUAUAUCCCAGAAGAAAGUAAUAUUUUCAUUCUUGUUUGUUUUCAUAAUUUUUUUUAAACUGAAAUAUAUAAAUGGAUGACAUUUUAUAAAAGUGUAC